GGUCAUGGAGGUGGAAAGGGUCAUGGUGGUGGCCAUGGGGGUAAAGGACAUGGAGGACAUGGUGGCGGACACGGGGGCAAGGGCCACGGAGGCCAUGGCGGUGGACAUGGGGGCAAAGGGCAUGGAGGCGGCCAUGGAGGAAAGGGGCUCCAUGGAUAAACCAUGUAGAUGAAAGGCGUGUGACAAUGCAGCUUCUACAUGUCAUUCCACUGCUGCUGGACAACGGGGAAACAACUCAGAGAAAACAUGAUGAUAUUGUAUUUUGUUUGAUAAGACCUCCGAAUAAAAAUACACCCCGAGGUGUUGAAUCUAA